GACGAACGCUGGCGGCGUGCUUAACACAUGCAAGUCGAACGGAAAGGCCCUGCUUUUGUGGGGUGCUCGAGUGGCGAACGGGUGAGUAACACGUGAGUAACCUGCCCUUGACUUUGGGAUAACUUCAGGAAACUGGGGCUAAUACCGCAUAGGAGCUCCUGCUGCAUGGUGGGGGUUGGAAAGUUUCGGCGGUUGGGGAUGGACUCGCGGCUUAUCAGCUUGUUGGUGGGGUAGUGGCUUACCAAGGCUUUGACGGGUAGCCGGCCUGAGAGGGUGACCGGCCACAUUGGGACUGAGAUACGGCCCAGACUCCUACGGGAGGCAGCAGUGGGGAAUAUUGCACAAUGGGCGGAAGCCUGAUGCAGCAACGCCGCGUGCGGGAUGACGGCCUUCGGGUUGUAAACCGCUUUCGCCUGUGACGAAGCGUGAGUGACGGUAAUGGGUAAAGAAGCACCGGCUAACUACGU
rnacentral:rRNA from 1 species